CAGUCGCCGCGGUAAUACGAAGGGGGCUAGCGUUACUCGGAAUUACUGGGCGUAAAGGGCGCGUAGGCGGCACGAUUAGUCAGGCGUGAAGUUCCUGGGCUCAACCUGGGGACUGCGCUUGAUACGGUCGAGCUAGAGCAUGGAAGAGGGUCGUGGAAUUCCCAGUGUAGAGGUGAAAUUCGUAGAUAUUGGGAAGAACACCGGUGGCGAAGGCGGCGACCUGGUCCAUUACUGACGCUGAGGCGCGACAGCGUGGGGAGCAAACAGGAUUAGAUACCCCCGUAGUCCCUGUCUCUUAUAC
rnacentral:rRNA from 1 species